UGGUUCCGGCAUCGAUGAAGAACGCAGCGAAAUGCGAUACGUAGUGUGAAUUGCAGAAUUCAGUGAAUCAUCGAGUCUUUGAACGCACAUUGCGCCCUUUGGCAUUCCGAAGGGCACGCCUGUUCGAGCGUCAUUUCACCCUCAAGCAUCGCUUGGUCUUGGGCACCCGCUGCGGCGGCGCCCCAAACGCGUAGGCAGUCGGCCAUCCGAAACGUGCGAAGAAUCGCAGCCGACGGAUGACGGCGCGCCGAAUACCGACAGGUUGACCUCGGAUCAGGCGGGGAUACCCGCUGA
rnacentral:misc_RNA from 1 species